rnacentral:rRNA from 1 species
CAGUCGCCGCGGGAAUACGUAGGGUGCAAGCGUUAAUCGGAAUUACUGGGCGUAAAGCGUGCGCAGGCGGUUAUAUAAGACAGAUGUGAAAUCCCUGGGCUCAACCUGGGAACUGCAUUUGUGACUGUAUAGCUAGAGUACGGCAGAGGGGGAUGGAAUUCCGCGUGUAGCAGUGAAAUGCGUAGAUAUGCGGAGGAACACCGAUGGCGAAGGCAAUCCCCUGGGCCUGUACUGACGCUCAUGCACGAAAGCGUGGGGAGCAAACAGGAUUAGAUACCCCUGUAGUCCCUGUCUCUUAUAU